CCUACGGGUGGCAGCAGUGAGGAAUAUUGGUCAAUGGACGCAAGUCUGAACCAGCGAUGCCGCGUGCGGGAAUGAGGUGCUACGCAUUGUAAACUGCUUUUAUACGGGGGCAAUUACAGAUACUUGUAUCUGGAUGAAAGUACCGUACGAAUUAGGAUCGACUAACUCCGUGCCAGCAGCCGUGGUAAUACGGAGGAUCCGACCGUUAUCCGGAUUUAUUGGGUUUAAGGGUUGCGUAGGCGGUUAGGUAAGUUAGAGGUAAAAGCAGGAUGAUCAACAUCGAAACUGCAUCUGAUACUGUCUGACUAGAGUAUAGUUGCGGAAGGCGGAAUGUGUGGUGUAGCAGUGAAAUGCUUAGAUAUCACACAGAACACCGAUUGCGAAGGCAGCUUUCCAAGCUAUUACUGACGCUGAGGCACGAAGGCGUGGGGAGCGAAAGGGAUUAGAUACCCUGGUAGUC
rnacentral:rRNA from 1 species